rnacentral:rRNA from 1 species
AUACUUCCAAGAAAAGCUUGCACUGUCAUAAACAAAGAAUGCCUGUACCAUAACCGACACAGGUGGGUAGGUAGAGUAUACUAAGGGGCGCGAGAUAACUCUCUCUAAGGAACUCGGCAAAAUGACUCCGUAACUUCGGGAGAAGGAGUGCCUUAUUUUUAAGGUUGCAAUAACAAGAUCCAAGCAACUGUUUACCAAAAACACAGGUCUCCGCUAAGUCGUAAGACGAUGUAUGGGGGCUGACGCCUGCCCAGUGCCAGAAGGUUAAAGAAGUUGGUUAGCAUUAGCGAAGCUGAUAACUGAAGCCCUGGUGAACGGCGGCCGUAACUAUAACGGUCCUAAGGUAGCGAAAUUCCUUGUCGGGUAAGUUCCGACCCGCACGAAAGGCGUAAUGAUUUGGAUACUGUCUCGGAGAGGGGCUCGGUGAAAUAGACUUGUCUGUGAAGAUGCGGACUUCCUGCACCUGGACAGAAAGACCCUAUGAAGCUUUACUGUAACUUGAGAUUGAAAUUGGACUUUAUUUGCGCAGUAUAGGUGGGAGGCGUUGAGAAUAAUCUUGCGGGAUUAUUGGAGCCAUCAGUGAGAUACCACUCUUGUAAUGUUAGAUUUCUAACUUUGUAUCAUUAUCUGGUCAAAGAACGGUUUCAGGCGGGCAGUUUGACUGGGGCGGUCGCCUCCCAAAGGGUAACGGAGGCGCACAAAGGUUUCCUCUGAACGGGUAGAAAUCGUAUCUAGAGUGUAAAGGCAUAAGGAAGCUUGACUGUGAGACCUACAAGUCGAGCAGGGACGAAAGUCGGUCUUAGUGAUCUGACGGUGCUGAGUGGAAAGGCCGUCACUCAACGGAUAAAAGUUACUCUAAGGAUAACAGGCUGAUCUCCCCCAAGAGUUCACAUCGACGGGGAGGUUUGGCACCUCGAUGUCGGCUCAUCGCAUCCUGGGGCGGUAGUACGUCCCAAGGGUUGGGCUGUUCGCCCAUGAAAGCGGUACGCGAGCUGGGUUCAGAACGUCGUGAGACAGUUCGGUCCAUAUCCGGUGUAGGCGUUAGAAUAUUGAGAGGAGCCUUCUCUAGUACGAGAGGACCGAGAAGGACAUACCUCUGGUGUACCAGUUAUCGUGCCAACGGUAAACGCUGGGUAGCUAUGUAUGGAGUGGAUAACCGCUGAAAGCAUCUAAGUGGGAAGCCCACCUUAAGAUAAGUAUUCUCAU